AUAUGCAGAGGCUGUAAAACAGAUUUGUGGAACUACAGUGUGGAAUGAUGGAGCUUCCAUGGUGGAGCUUCCGUGACGGAGCUUACUGCACUAAGUGGACCUAAUGUCCUGGUGCUUCUACUGGACCUGGCAUGGUUUCGAGACCUGUUCAGAAAUCUUGUGCUUAUGAAUGUGCUGGGUCAAAGGACACUUUGAUAGUGAAUUAAUUUAACUUCAUAGCUUUCAUUGGUAAGAUUAUCAACACGACUCAGGUUGUGGAAAGCAGAAAUGCCAAGUUGAAGGUUAUUGUGGAUGCGGCAAAAGUUGUUAUUGGGAGUAACAGAUGUUACUGUUGAAAUGGUUGUAGACAUAGACAUAGCUGAAUAAUCUUAGGGGUGGAUUGUUUCAGUGUAGCCGAUGUGAAAUGGCUAGCUAGUUAGCGGUGGUGCGCGCUAGUGGCGUUUCAAUCGGUGACGUCACUUGCUUUGAGACCUUGAAGUAGUGGUUGCCCUUGCUCUGCAAGGGCCGCAGCUUUUGUGGAGCGAUGGGUAACGAUGCUUCGAGGGUGACUGUUGACGUGUGCAGAGCGUCCCUGGUUCGCGCCCAGGUCGGGGCGAGGGGACAGACGUAAAGUCUAUACUGUUACUACAUCAGCAUGAUAUAGAUCAAGUUUAAUGGGUUGUGAUGGCGUAGCAGUUUUUUGAGGGGGUAGAAGUUAGUAGGGAUUUAUUGUUUUAUUGAAUUUAAUUUGCUUGGUAGUACAGAAUUAGGCAGACCAUGAUUGAUCGCAUUCUCCAGCACAGUAGGUGGCGACAUGCACUUUAAACGGUUGUUUUCGCGGACCGCCAUGAUAUCAUAGAUAUCAUUCCACUCCAGCAGAGGUGAUGCCCUACACAGAGGGGCAUGCGCUUCUGUGUUUAUAUUCUGCAGAAGUGUAUACUAAUUUUGCAUGGAAGAAAAUAAACAAUAAAAACUGUCAAAAAGAGAGUUGAAGAGAGAAUUUCUCAACCAGAAAUUAACAGCGGCUGCUGAGGAGAUAUUUGGGGUCGUUGAAAAAACGAUAGCAGAGUACCAGCUAGACGUUUUCCAUACGAAAGAGGAGAACGAACGUCUUCGUGGGCUGUUGAUGUUGCACAAAGGAGGUAUGUAGCUUUAUUCAGUCAAUUGUUUGUAGCGUCUGACCACAUACAAAAUGGGAGGGGUAGCUACACGGGUGUCUAUCUAAUAACGUUAGCAAGCUUUCUACCCAGAUCAAAAAUGUUUGUCAAUGGUGAGUCUUCAUUGAAAGUGCUGGUUACAAAACCUAAUUGUACAGUGAAGUCCGGGGAACUGGCCUUAGAGCUGAGAUCCUCAACGUGUGAAACAGCGCCACUGCAUUUGUUCACAGUUUUGUUUUUGAAAAGGAGGAGAUGAGCAUCCAGCAACGCAACCUGGUAUCAACGUUUCAUAUUAUUCUGUACUUAAUUCCGAAGCUUUCCAUUUAGUAUUUGUUACAUUUCAUAUGGUAUGUAUUAAUUUGUUACUAAUUACAAUUUGUGUUAUGUUAUAAAUUUGCUAAAUGUACAAUAUGUUAUGAAUUUUAAAAACGUUGUUACGAAUUCCAAUUUGUUUUGGCUAAAGUAGCUAGGUGGCUAACGCUAAUUUUAUCUAGCUGGCUAACGUUAGCUAGGAUAGGUGUUCGGGUUAAAGAGUUAAGGUUAGGGGAGGGGUUAGCUAAGUAGUUGCAAAGUAGUAAGUAGUUGAAAAGUUGCUACAUGCUACCUUUGGGUUACUAGACGUUUCCAUUAUACACCCAUCCAUCCACCCUGACCAACCACCCUCCUUUCAUUUUGGCCUUAAAGUAACCUUCUGUCUUAUGUAACCAUACCAAACGUAACAUAUACUUAUUUGAACAUCCAGGAUGUACUUUUACUAUGUUACGUCUAGUCUGAGACCAGGCUGAGCAUUGUUUGUUGUUUGAAGUGACAUCUUUGUUGUUGUAAUAUUCCAAACAGAUGUGGCAGGUUUACCAAAACGUAUUCCAACUUUAACAGAUCUACAUGUGCAACUGUUUCUCAUUCCCUCCAGAGUCCGACUGCCAGCAGCAGGCUGAAGCUACUAUCACUUUGGUGCAGGUUGCCCCUGAGCAGCAGCAGUCAUGUACUCAAGAGUGGGGCCUCCGUCUAAGACAGGAGGGCCCAGAGCCCACAGUGUAAAGAGGAAGAGGAUACCCACUGGAUCAGUGAGGUUGAAGAACACAUUCAAAAGCUGGAGUCUGAUUCCAAAGAAUAUCCAGACCAAGUAUCCACUUCUGAAGAUUUCACAUUCCAAAUGGAAACAGAAGGGUCAGUAAAUGAAGCCAUCAAACUGAAAGUCAUCCUCAACGACAACAGAAUAGAGAAAGUGAUUCUGCCCUCUCAACCUGACUCACUGAAUGAGCUGAUAUCAACGCUCAAGGAGAAACUGCAUCUGAAGUUUGAUUUCAGUCUUCUUUAUGAAGACCCUGAUUUCAACAAUGAGCUCUUCAACUUAGAGACCAUUGAAGACUUGCCUUCUCCUAGGGCUACGGGGAAAGUUUUGCGAAUACGACGUGAUACAGACCUCGGUUUAACCGGAUUCUCAGCCACCGAGUUGGGGGAUGCCCCACCAGAGCGGUUAGGAAGAUGGCCUGAGGUAUUUGUCAUACCCACUUUCUCGAUGGAAGUUGAGUUUGCUCUGAGGGCAAUUGUGCAUAUCUGAGACAUGAAACGGUGCUGAAAAUAACAAGAGAUCAAAAACAACAUUCUUCAUAGAUUGACUUGGACAAUCUUCAAUUUAAUAGCGUCCCCAAGUGACAGAGAAAUAGGGGCUGGAGAUGGUCCACGAGAUGAUGAAAGAAAACAGAGACCUGCCACUCAUCAAUCAACACAUGCAGAAGACAUUUGCUCUCCGACGCCAAGAAAUAGUUCAAUCCAGUCCCACGGUAGAGCAUCUCAGAACACGCUGGCCAGCACUCUUCCUCGAAGCCCAGGUUAAGCAGAACACGCUGGCCAGCACUCUUCCUCGAAGCCCAGGUUAAGCAGAACACGCUGGCCAGCACUCUUCCUCGAAGCUCAGGUUAAGCAGAACACGCUGGCCAGCACUCUUCCUCGAAGCUCAGGUUAAGCAGACUAAGAAAAGUUGUCUUUGUCCAUUCAUGUGCUCAUAACAAUCUACAUUUCCAUUGCAGUUCAGACCUUUUUGAUGCAUGUCACAUGUUCUUCUGAUUGUACUCACAAGUCAUGGUUAUCAGUAACAAAAUUCUCAGGGCAGGCUAAACUUGCCUGACUGCCAUAAAUUGGGAUGUUCUGUGUGCUUUGUCUUUUACUUUAGGUACAUGCUGAGUUUCAGAGAAUCACCAACCAGAGCCUGCAGCAGACGUUCUACUCUGCCUUGGACCACCACACGCCGCCUGCUGACCCUGUUCAGGGAGAAGGAGGGGAAGUCCACCACCCAUGGAGGAAAUUCUCAAGCAUCCUGAGAGUGUACAACGAGCAGUUCACUUCACAGGGAGAAAAUAACAUCACCGUGGCCCGUUCUGCAGUCCUGGCUGGUCUCCCUUUGUUGUUACGAGAGGACAGUUCUGAUGUCUUCAAAAUCUGCGAGUGGGAGAACUCAGCAACCCUGGUAUUCUGGAGGGAGUUUCUAUUCUCUCAGUGGUGGGCCAGCACAAUGAGGUGGUGGGUGGUAUACCCAUCAGACCGGCCCAUGUAUCCAUUGUCCUUGAGGAUAAGAUCGUCAUGACUAACUCCCGCUCCUGGCCAGACGCUCUCGUGGUUGUUUUUGGGCUACUCUACUCCCUCCAUCUGAACUUCCCCAAAGCCCUGGGCAGCACCUCUGAGUUCAUGCAGAAAGUCUUCCUGAACCUCGACGAUGGAGAACUGAAGCCCAAGCUGCUAGCGCUGACAUAUGAACUGUUGGCAUAAUUCUGUAGUGAUGAGAUGGAAUUUUACUUUGAGUGACCUCCUAUAUGCCGAGCGAGUGGUUUGAAAACAAUGGUUAUUUUUGUUUGGUUUGCUUUUAUAUUUUUGUAUGUUUUUUGUGCAGGUAAUGGAUUUGAUAUUGUAUUUCAAUUCACUUAUAACCCUUUUAUGUGAAAAGAAGUCACAGGUCAAUCAACACAUUAACUUGCCACAUACAGUCGAUCUGCGACCCAGUUCUCUACCUUUGUUAUACAGCUGCAGAAAACCCCCAAAUGUUUUCUAGAAGAUUUCACCUUUGCAGACAUUCCGACUGGCACAAAAUACAUGUUGAUAAAAUGUUUAUUAAAGUGUCUUUACCUGC